AAAAAGAGCUGACUGCAAAGAAUGUGCAGUUCAUGUGCACUGAUGUUAUAUGCAAGUACUGGCCAUACCUGCAGAGAAUUGUUAAAGAUUGUCCAGAGCUCUCUCCUCUCCUGGACAUGAAGCCUUUCCUGUCAGUGAUGCAUGCAAAGGCCCACUCUUGGAAAUGUGAGAUUAAAUGGGGUGGUCGAAACCAAGAAGGAGCAGGCACCACCCUGGGGGAAGAGGUCGAACAAGUUAACAGCUUUUUUGUCGAGAACUGCUAUAUGCAGUAAAUACAUGACCAAAGGAGGCAAAACAGACAUGAUUACAAUCCAGGCCAUGGCAUGGAAUCAGCGCAAAAUACGGAAACUUGCAAAAGCGCUGUCCCUAAGAUUUAAAAAGACAAAAGCAAAAAUUCAGGAGGAGUCCUUAAAUCUUGAUGCAAUAAAGACAGACUUGGCAGUAACACAUGACACGCUUAUAGAUUGGACCAAUGAAAUCCAGCAAUGGGCUGAUACAGCAACAAGUGAGGAGAACACAGACAGUCAGCAGGUGCUCCAGAAGACUAUUGAGACGCUUUAUGUGAGCAUCAGGCAGAGAAAGCAAGAUCUUUACCGUCAAUCAGAUGGGAACAAGAGAAGACACAAACUCCGAAGAAAGAUUUUGGAAGAAAAA
ensembl:lncRNA